rnacentral:rRNA from 1 species
GACUCUCGACAAUGGAUAUCUUGGCUCUUGCAUCGAUGAAGAGCGCAGCGAAAUGCGAUACGUGGUGUGAAUUGCAGAAUCCCGUGAAUCAUCGAAUCUUUGAACGCAAGUUGCGCCCGAGGCCAAUUGGUUGAGGCACGCCCGCCUGGGCGUCAAGCAUUAUGUCGCUUCAUUUA